GAUGAACGCUGGCGGCGUGCUUAACACAUGCAAGUCGAACGGAAAGGCCAGUGCUUGCACUGGUACUCGAGUGGCGAACGGGUGAGUAACACGUGGGUGAUCUGCCCUGUACUUCGGGAUAAGCUUGGGAAACUGGGUCUAAUACCGGAUAGGACAACUUUUUGGAUAUUGUUGUGGAAAGCUUUUGCGGUAUGGGAUGAGCUCGCGGCCUAUCAGCUUGUUGGUGGGGUAAUGGCCUACCAAGGCGUCGACGGGUAGCCGGCCUGAGAGGGUGUACGGCCACAUUGGGACGGAGAUACGGCCCAGACUCCUACGGGAGGCAGCAAUGGGGAAUAUUGCACAAUGGGCGCAAGCCUGAUGCAGCGACGCCGCGUGGGGGAUGAAGGCCUUCGGGUUGUAAACUCCUUUCGCUAGGGACGAAGCUUUUUUGUGACGGUACCUGGAGAAGAAGCACCGGCUAACUACGUG
rnacentral:rRNA from 1 species